rnacentral:rRNA from 1 species
UACGUAGGUGGCAAGCGUUGUCCGGAUUUACUGGGCGUAAAGAGCGCGCAGGCGGUCGUUCAAGUCGCGUGUGAAAGCCCCCGGCUCAACUGGGGAGGGUCACGCGAUACUGAUCGACUCGAAGGCAGGAGAGGGUAGUGGAAUUCCCGGUGUAGUGGUGAAAUGCGUAGAUAUCUGGAGGAACACCGGUGGCGAAGGCGGCAUCCUGGACCGAGAUUGACGCUGAGGCGCGAAAGCUAGGGUAGCAAACGGG